rnacentral:rRNA from 1 species
AUGAACGCUAGCGGCAGGCUUAACACAUGCAAGUCGAGGGGCAGCAUAAUGGUAGUAAUACUAUUGAUGGCGACCGGCGGACGGGUGCGUAACGCGUAUGCAACCUACCCUUUACAGGGGGAUAACACUGAGAAAUCGGUACUAAUACCCCAUAAUAUUCUGGGAGGCAUCUUUCGGAGUUGAAAGCUUUGGUGGUAAAGGAUGGGCAUGCGUUGUAUUAGCUAGUUGGUAAGGUAACGGCUUACCAAGGCGACGAUACAUAGGGGGACUGAGAGGUUAACCCCCCACAUUGGUACUGAGACACGGACCAAACUCCUACGGGAGGCAGCAGUGAGGAAUAUUGGUCAAUGGACGGAAGUCUGAACCAGCCAUGCCGCGUGCAGGAAGACGGCUCUAUGAGUUGUAAACUGCUUUUGUACGAGGGUAAACGCAGAUACGUGUAUCUGCCUGAAAGUAUCGUACGAAUAAGGAUCGGCUAACUCCGUGCCAGCAGCCGCGGUAAUACGGAGGAUCCAAGCGUUAUCCGGAUUUAUUGGGUUUAAAGGGUGCGUAGGCGGUUUAGUAAGUCAGCGGUGAAAUUUUGGUGCUUAACACCAAACGUGCCGUUGAUACUGCUGGGCUAGAGAGUAGUUGCGGUAGGCGGAAUGUAUGGUGUAGCGGUGAAAUGCUUAGAGAUCAUACAGAACACCGAUUGCGAAGGCAGCUUACCAAACUAUAUCUGACGUUGAGGCACGAAAGCGUGGGGAGCAAACAGGAUUAGAUACCCUGGUAGUCCACGCAGUAAACGAUGAUAGCUCGUUGUCGGCGAUACACAGUCGGUGACUAAGAGAAAUCGAUAAGCUAUCCACCUGGGGAGUACGUUCGCAAGAAUGAAACUCAAAGGAAUUGACGGGGGCCCGCACAAGCGGAGGAACAUGUGGUUUAAUUCGAUGAUACGCGAGGAACCUUACCCGGGCUUGAAAGUUACUGACGAUUCUGGAAACAGGAUUUCCCUUCGGGGCAGGAAACUAGGUGCUGCAUGGUUGUCGUCAGGUGUCGGGUUAAGUCCCAUAACGAGCGCAACCCCUACUGAUAGUUGCCAUCAGAGCGUUUGAGCGAUCAAACAAGCUGGGCACUCUAUCGGGACUGCCGGUGUAAGCCGAGAGGAAGGUGGGGAUGACGUCAAAUCAGCACGGCCCUUACGUCCGGGGCGACACACGUGUUACAAUGGUAGGUACAGAGGGCAGCCACCCAGUGAUGGGGAGCGAAUCUCGAAAGCCUAUCUCAGUUCGGAUUGGAGGCUGAAACUCGCCUCCAUGAAGUUGGAUUCGCUAGUAAUCGCGCAUCAGCCAUGGCGCGGUGAAUACGUUCCCGGGCCUUGUACACACCGCCCGUCAAGCCAUGGGAGUUGGGGGUGCCUGAAGUUCGUGACCGAAAGGAGCGACCUAGGGCAAAACCGAUGACUGGGGCU